AAUAAACAGCUUGUGGCACUCAUAGUCAUGUAAUAACUAUUACCUAAUGAAAUUGUAUUUAAGGCAUACUGUAUUAUCAGAUAAGACAGCAGAAGAAAACCCAACAGCAAAAAAGCGCCUCAAAAUCUUCAUAAAAUGAGCAUGAUUACAAUCAUCAUUUUGUGCUCACUGCUGGGAGUUCACUCCCUACCAACAGAUACAGCUAGUGAUGAUCAUGCUGCUACGGACACUCUUAAAGAGAGCGACGCACAUCUGGUUAAACGAAAUGCUCCAACCUGCCCAAACAACUGUUCCCUGAAGAGCUUUGAGCUUUUUGUUGCAACAAGCUAUCAACCGGGUGCACAAUCAGGCAAUCAACAUGAAUUUUGGAUACGUGCAGAGGGCAAAAACCACUACUAUGUACUGCCAGUUCCACCUGGACAAGGGGGGCACAUCACAUGGGAGUUGGAAAUAUCAGAUUUCAGACCAGAGGUCAGUGAAUGCCUUAAAGAAGAGGACAUAGAAGAAAUGUUCUUCAAAGAGCGCGGAAAUGAUGGUUGGAUAAUUCAGGUAGUCACGAUUCACUACGUCUACUGGUGUGACAAGAAGACCAUCGGUCCUGACUUCCAUCAUUUUAAUCGAAUUGUGGACGGCGAUGGCUCUCCAAGUAACGUUAUACUGGAACUAAUUCCAUAGCUUCAUACUCUCAUAACUUCAGCUGCCGUUGAAUGUUACGGUGUUAUUACGCAUGCAAUUAGUUGUAUGUAAGAGCUAUAUGUAUAGUAUAUGAGACUGAGCAUUGUACAUGAAAUAUACAUUUCCUGCUUUUGAAACACUAUAUCAACAAAAAUUAAUGGUCAAUUUAUGUGACAAA